rnacentral:rRNA from 1 species
GGACUACCCGGGUAUCUAAUCCGUUUUGCUCCCCACGCUUUCAUGCCUCAAUGUCAGGAACAGAAUAGUUAACUGCCUUCGCCUUUUUCGGUGGUUCCACAUGGAUCAACGGAUUUCACCCCUACGCAUGCACCUCCGUCAACCUCUUCUGUCCUCGAGUAAAACAGUAUUACCAGUUUCCACCAAGUUGAGCCUGAUUUCUACUAAUAACUUAUUUCACCAUCUACGCAUCCUUUACGCCCAAUAAAUCCGGAUAACGUUUGCCACCUAUGUCUUACCGCGGCUGCUGGCAC